rnacentral:lncRNA from 1 species
AAAUCUUUACCUCUAGAGAAACCCUCCACACGGCUCUCCAAUCGAGGUAAGGUAUAUCUGAUUUUGUGCCCCUUCUCUUAGGCUGGUCCACAGAACCUCCACUACAGGGAUUAUGGAUUAUUUUAUCUACCACCUUAUUUAUAAAAUCUUUAUCUGCAUGACUUGGUAAUUUAUCGCAAUCUAGCCUCUCAAGGUUGAAUUAUAUAUAAUUUUGAUACAAAUACCGACUUUGCCAUUCAUGCUCACAUAUUGCUAUAAGUCAUAUAAUUUAAAACAUAAUUUAUAACACAAGUAGGUAAUCUUUAAUUACUCUAUUUUCAAAACCAGUAUUCAAUUUUUCAGAAAAUUUAUAAAAUCAUUUUAUAAAAUCACAAUUUCUCCUAAAACAUAGCAAUUUACCAUUUAAACCCAUUUUCUUUAAAAUCACACAAUUGUAUAAAACUACUCUAGACAAUUAAGACGAUAAUAAGUUUACUCACAGUAUUAGGAGUAGAAAUACUCAUAUUUUCAGUCCAUGGGUACAGUCUUUUACUCGUAUCCAAUGACUCACCACCUAGCCAUAAUCCAUGUCACAUAUUCUAAUUAAAUUGUGUCUAACAGUCAUAAGCUAUUUCAGGCUCGAUAUAUAUGCAUGAUAUGAAAUAAAAAAUGCACGAGUAGCCAUCUAGACCCGGUAUUGGCCUAAGUUGAUUUUUCAUCCGAUAAAUUGGCCCAUGCGUCCAAUUUCACUCCAACUUGCUCCAUUUCUUUUCCAAUCCCUCAAUUCACCAAAGACUAUUAUUUCUUAAUCAAAUCACCUAGAAUAACUUCUCAUUCUUCCUCAUUAUUCACUUAGAGAAUUCAGCUAUUGAUGGGCACCAAACCUUUGGUAGUUUUCUUCACUUGUUUUCAUGCUACACAUCAUUAAUCACCUAAAAACACUAACAUACCUAAAAAUCAAACCAAUCCAAGAUCAUUCUCUCUCCAUACCCAUUUUGACCAGCCAUGAAUUCANNNNNNNNNNNNNNNNNNNNNNNNNNNNNNNNNNNNNNNNNNNNNNNNNAAGAAAUUUUACCUUUGCUUGAUCAAAUCCUUGAAUUCCAACACUUUCUCUUUGAUUUUUCCCACCUAGGAUUUGUUCUUCCUUGGUUUCUCUUCUCUUCUGGUUUG